AGGAAAUCACCUUUGUGACCGCGUCUUUUUUCCGAUCACCUGUCUUUCACUGACGACGGCUCCUCCGCCGCCGGAGCCACCUCACUGCAAUUCCAACAACCAGCUUGGAACACAUUCUUGAACCUCCCUUCUUGCCACCACCCUUUACUGAUCCUACCCUUACUCGAAGAGUUUGUGCUUUCAAGAAUCACAAGCGUUUGGUGACUGAAUCCCUUUUCCGAGCAUCGCGUUGAAGUUACGUUUGUUCGAAGGUUCUCGCAAUUUUCUUGAACUCAUGGCCGCAUGGUCUUCUAGAAAGUUGCUGAGAGAUGUUAUUCUCAAAAGGUUUUUCUUCUGCGGCAAAAAGUGCUCCCAAGAUCGGUUACUAUUCCAAGAAGGUGCGUUUUCUCAUUUCUUUUGUGUGUAUGCAUGGUGUUCGACAUUAUGCAUUGUCGUGUUGAAAUUUAAUGUGCUGAAAGAUCUUGUAUGCAAUGUGUGUGCUGUUUGAUUAAGUUUGUGCGUUGUAUGUGCAUGCAAAUAUUGAAGUGGUUUCACCAGAAAACAAAUUCUUGAUACCUUGUGUCAAAAGAAAAUGCAUACCUUGCAAGCUGGUUCUUGAAAUUGCAGUGUGUAGUAAACAAAAGUCAAAGGUGAAAGAAGCUUGUGAAAUUUGAACGAAAGCGGUGUAUGCCGAAGUGAGGUCGGAAACAGGAAUGUGGUGGCUCCGGCGGCGGCGGAGCCGUCGGCAGAGAAAGACCGGUGAUUGGAAAAAUGACGCAGUCACAAAGGUGAUUUCCUUUACGCUUGAAAAAGAGUCUCGGAGCUACUGAUGAAUGUCUUGUUGGGCUUUCGUCUGAAGCCCAACUAGACAAGUGUAGAUAUGGGCCGCUAUUCACAACGUGGAUUUUCAUUUUUACACCAUUUUUAUAUUUUUGUACGAUAAUAUUAUUUAAAUCUGUUUUUGG
rnacentral:lncRNA from 1 species